rnacentral:rRNA from 1 species
AUUGAACGCUGGCGGCAGGCCUAACACAUGCAAGUCGAACGAGUGGCGGACGGGUGAGUAAUGUCUGGGAAACUGCCUGAUGGAGGGGGAUAACUACUGGAAACGGUAGCUAAUACCGCAUACCAUCGGAUGUGCCCAGAUGGGAUUAGCUAGUAGGUGGGGUAACGGCUCACCUAGGCGACGAUCCCUAGCUGGUCUGAGAGGAUGACCAGCCACACUGGAACUGAUAGACGUUCCAGUUUCCUACGUGAGGAGGCAGUGGGGAAGAUUGCACAAUGUGCGCAAGCCUGAUGCAGCCAGGCCGCGUGUAUGAAGAAGGCCUUCGGGUUGUAAAGUACUUUCAGCGGAGAGGCGUUACCCGCAGAUGAAGCACCGGCUAACACCGUGCCAGCAGCCGCGGUAAUAC